rnacentral:rRNA from 1 species
UGAGGAAUUUUGCGCAAUGGGGGAAACCCUGACGCAGCAACGCCGCGUGAGUGAUGAAGGCUUUCGGGUCGUAAAACUCUGUCAAGUGGGAAGAAACUGUUAGGCAUUAAUACUGUCUUUCAUUGACGGUACCACUGAAGGAAGCACCGGCUAACUCCGUGCCAGCAGCCGCGGUAAUACGGGGGGUGCAAGCGUUAUUCGGAUUUAUUGGGCGUAAAGGGCGCGUAGGCGGCUUUUUAAGUCAGAUGUGAAAGCCCGGGGCUUAACCCCGGAAGUGCAUUUGAAACUAAGGAGCUUGAGUAUGGGAGAGGGAAGUGGAAUUCCUGGUGUAGAGGUGAAAUUCGUAGAUAUCAGGAGGAACACCGAUGGCGAAGGCGACUUCCUGGACCAAUACUGACGCUGAGGCGCGAAGGCGUGGGGAGCAAACAGGAUUAGAUACCCUGGUAGUCCACGCAGUAAACGGUGAACACUAGGUGUAGCGGGUAUUGACCCCUGCUGUGCCGCAGUUAACGCAUUAAGUGUUCCGCCUGGGGAGUACGACCGCAAGGUU